UACGUAGGGACCGAGCGUUGUCCGGAAUCAUUGGGCGUAAAGAGCGUGUAGGCGGCCACUUAAGUCCUGCGUGAAAUCUUGCGGCUCAACCGCAAGCGGUCGUGGGAAACUGGGUGGCUAGAGUACUGGAGAGGUGAGUGGAAUUCCUGGUGUAGUGGUGAAAUACGUAGAUAUCAGGAGGAACACCGGUGGCGAAGGCGGCUCACUGGCCAUGUACUGACACUGAAACACGAAAGCGUGGGGAUCAAACAGG
rnacentral:rRNA from 1 species